UCCGAUAUGGUGUAGCGGUUAACAUUGCUCGCUUUCAUUGAAAGCAAGAUCCGAGCGGCCCCGGGUUCGACUCCCGGUAUCGGAA